rnacentral:rRNA from 1 species
UACGGGGGGUGCGAGCGUUGUCCGGAAUCACUGGGCGUAAAGGGCGCGUAGGUGGUCUUGUAAGUUUGUGGUGAAAGCCCGGGGCUCAACCCCGGGUCUGCCGCGAAUACUGCGAGACUCGAGUACUGUAGAGGCUGGUAGAAUGCCGGGUGUAGCGGUGGAAUGCGUAGAGAUCCGGCGGAAGACCGGUGGCGAAGGCGGCCAGCUGGGCAGUGACUGACACUGAGGCGCGACAGCGUGGGGAGCAAACAG